rnacentral:rRNA from 1 species
UGCGUAGGCGGCGCGGUAAGUCGGGUGUGAAAUCUCGGAGCUUAACUCCGAAACUGCAUUCGAUACUGCCGUGCUUGAGGACUGGAGAGGAGACUGGAAUUUACGGUGUAGCAGUGAAAUGCGUAGAUAUCGUAAGGAAGACCAGUGGCGAAGGCGGGUCUCUGGACAGUUCCUGACGCUGAGGCAAGGCCAGGGGAGCAAC